UCUUGGUCAUUUAGAGGAAGUAAAAGUCGUAACAAGGUUUCCGUAGGUGAACCUGCGGAAGGAUCAUUACGAAAUUCGGCGCGCUUCGGCGCUGCCUUAUUCACCCACCCUUUGUCUACAUGUACCUCUAUAGCUUCCUCGGCGGGCUCGCCCGCCGCCAGGAACCCACGAAACCCCUUGCAUUAUACACGAAAACUUCUGAUAACAAACCUAAAUUAUUACAACUUUCAACAAUGGAUCUCUUGGUUCUGGCAUCGAUGAAGAACGCAGCGAAAUGCGAUAAGUAGUGUGAAUUGCAGAAUUCAGUGAAUCAUCGAAUCUUUGAACGCACAUUGCGGCCAUAGGUAUUCCUUUGGCCAUGCCUGUUCGAGCGUCAUUUACACCCUCAAGCCUAGCUUGGUGUUGGGCGUCUGUCCCGCCGAUUUCGCGCGCGGACUCGCCUCAAAGUCAUUGGCGGCGGUCGUGCCGGCUCCUCGCGCAGCACAUUUGCGCUUCUCGGAGGCCCGGCGGAUCCGCGCUCCAGCAAAGACCUUUCAUGACUUGACCUCGGAUCAGGUAGGGAUACCCGCUGAACUUAAGCAUAUCAAUAAGCGGAGGAA
rnacentral:rRNA from 1 species